rnacentral:lncRNA from 1 species
CAAAUUAGGGCAUCUAUUUAAAACAAUUGAAAGGCAAAGAAUUUUUUUUUUGUAAAUAGUGAUUUACAAAUGGAAUCAUCCCACUUCCAUCAUGACUCUUGACAGGUUAUUAAAAUAUAUGUGUUCAUGUGGUUAAUUUUUGACCCGGGAAUGGAAGAUGGAGAAACGACAGCAGUGUUGAAAAGAAGGAACAGUUGUGUACGUGUGUCUACGCACGUAAGACGGAGGUUCCAUGUUGUUGGAUAGCGUGUCCCGAGCCCCAUCACUGGCCUCACAUCAAGGAGUCCUCGCAUUCUGUCCAUCCAGCCGCGGCUGUCGUCCUGUGGAAGGUCCUUGAACUGUUAGGAGCUGAUGGAGAAUUACCCAGCUGACAGCUGCUCGUGGAGCACCUGCUAUGCGUCUUUCAUACACAGCAGGGAUCUAAGAAAAGACAAAUUUAUGACAAGGGCCCCCGCUCCAAGAGGCUCCCUGUAGUUACUGCCUUGGGAACUCUGGGCAGGAAGGUUAAAACCCACCUCCACUCCCCUUUGGCUGCUACUGACAGUCAGUCUCAGACUUAACAACCUUUCCCGGAGCUGAGAGAUGUUUUUAUUGGUGCUCCUACCUCAAAAGUGGCCGCUCUCUCCUGUGGUCCUUUCCUGAGCAAAGGGAGCUGCUCUCCAGGAGUCACCUGCUCAGUCACACCUGGAGACUCAGCAGGACCCAGGGAAGAGGAUACGCACACCUUUGAGAGGCCAGUCCUUUCAGCUUGGCCAUGCUGUCUUUCAUCGGCCAUAUGUGAAAGGAAAAGAGCCCAGGUGACAGGAGGCUGGAUGUGCCCCCUGCCUCCAGGCAGGGAUCUCCAUCUUCAGUGUGUCCGCGACUGGCCGGGGAGCCUGCUGAAGUGCGGGUCCUAGCUCAGUGGUCAGGGUGAGGCUGAGGACGUGCCUUUUUUCACAAGCUCUGAGUGAUGCUGAUGCUGCUGGCCUGCGGACCCGCUUGUGGCAAUCUUGAGAGUUUUCACUGUUUUGCCGUGUCCUCCAUUCAAUCCUCAUGACCAGCCUGUGGGGUACUUGAGACCACCCCAUCUCACAGAAGUGGAGGCAGGUCCAGCGAGGUAAACAGACUCUCUGAGGGUGUGGAACCAGGGAGAUCGACCCUCCGUCCUCUGAAUCUCAGCCCUGGGCUCUUCCUCCCACACGCUACGGCUCCUGCCACAUCAGCUCUCUGCCGGGGACGUUCCCCAGGGAACUGACACGUGAGGGCGUUUGACUUCAGAGCUCUGGUUCAGCCGCUCACGGCUGUGUGUUCUCAGCCUUGUCUUGUUAGACCUGCUCUUGAUGUUAGCACAUUAGCAGGUUUAGGUUGGUGAUUGUGUCGUCCAGCAUCCCUGCUGUGCCUCUCCACUUCAUACCUUGUCCUCGGGUGGGUACCACAUUCCCGUGUCUUGUAUCUGAAUUGUAAGUAAGCUUUUCACGGAUGUUUGGAGGCUCCGGCAUUGACCAACACACAGAGGACCAAGCUGUGAGAAGUAAGACAGACAGUGUCUAUGGAACUGGAAUAAGAGAUCAAGUCUCUUCCCACUGAGAAUGACAAUUAACAAAAGAAGAAGAGGAAGAAGAGUAUAAGCCAGAAGCUGACGGAGCGAAGGGGUGAAGACAGGGGGUAGCAGUUUUGCACCCUGGUUCUGCCUCCUACCAAACGAGGAUUUCGGGGCCAGGGCUUGGCUCUUCAUGCUCUGCUUUCCUUGUGUGUUGGAAGGAGGUGCUGUGGUUUUGGUGACAACUGAAAGAUUCCGUUAAUUCACGACAGUGCCCAGCACGUAGGAAGAGCUCAAUAAACGUUAGCGAGCAUCAUUAUUCCAGUCAGAUAGUCCGACCUCCUUAUCUUUGAGUGAUUUCACACCCAUUGGCCAACAAUCGUGGGGCCUUUGCUGUGCAGCACAUUGAUGAGUGGACGACCAGACAGAUGUCGUAAGACCGGCAGUAGCGGGCUCUGACUUCGGUUCUACUGCGAUGGGUGUUGAGAGUGUGUCCACCACUCUCACUGCCACUCGGGUCUGGAAAGUUCUGGGUAUUUCACACAGUUCCGUGGGCAGGAGUGACAGCAGGGGCCACCACGAUGUACCUGCGUUCCCUAUUGGUCCUCGGCCUGGAGAGCCUGGGCGUGUUGACAGAAGGCCAGGAGCCCUGAGCUGAGCCACAGGGCUGCAGAGCCGACUAAGGGGCGCCUGGCAUGCAGAUCCGGGGUGCCCCCAAAGCCCAGGGCAUGGUACUGCUCUCCCCAGGCGUAAGUUCCCAACCCGGCCCGAGUGCUGGUUUUGGAAUCAACACAGUUUACCUGGCUGCAGUUAGUGCUGUUGGAUCUCUGUCCCCAAGGACGGUCGGGUCUGGUUACCCGGGUGGGGCCGCCUGCCUUGCCGCUGACCCGUCUGCUGAAGUAGUGCGGCUCUGUGUGCACUGGAGCUAGAGGCCUUUGUCUCCGAGAACUCUGGCUCUCAGCUUCGGCACUUUUGUCUGGCGCUGCCUCUCCCAGUCUUCACGUUUCAGGUGAGGUAUCGGUGCGCAGCUGAUGGAUACGCACAGAGAGAAAUAAAAAUCUUUUAUUACGUCUGCAGUGCAAACAAACACCGAAGACGUGCAGAUGGAUUCGAGGGAGGAGGUGAGCCAACUCCAGAGGGGCCAUCACCCAUCCUGAUGGAGCAAGAGGAGCUCACCGUUUCACCGCCCUGCUUCUCUCCAUUUGGAAUGAAAAUUGAUGGUCGUUAGUGGCAAUUUAAGGGGUAUAUUCCCUUAAAAACUAACCCUCUUCUUGCAAAUUAUUUCCAUGUCAUCAAAUAAUUCCUCCUUCAACAAUAUUGUCAAUAACUUCUCCUGUAUGUGAAGCCUGUGUGUGCAGAAAACCCGGAAACAUUGAAAAUAGACCUUCCUACCCACUCUCGCCCCAGGAAAGUCACUGCCCCAGCAACCGUGCCUGGAUUACACAGGACAAAGGGCUCCAGGCCGUGGAGCGUGCGGGCUGGGCGAGGCUCGGAUCCUCUGCCUUCACUCAGGGCAGGAGGAGCUAGUGAUGCUGAUUCCAGUGCACUGAUUUAUGGACCAAGUUCAAUGAAACGAAUGUUGUUUUUAUUUAUUUUUUUUAUUUUUAUGUUUUUUCCUUUUUCUCCCCAAAGCCCCCUGGUACAUAGUUGUAUAUUCUUCAUCGUGGGUCCUCCUAGUUGUGGCAUGUGGGACGCUGUCUCAGCGUGGUUUGAUGAGUGGUGCCAUGUCUGCAUCCGGGAUUCGAACCAACGAAACCCUGGGCCCGCCUGCAGCAGAGCGCGCGAACUUAACCACUCGGCCACGGGGCCGGCCCCACAAAUGUUGUUUUAACACAGCAACACCUGCCCAGGAUCUGCGAAGGUGAAGGGGACGAGGGGGCUUAGGGCUGGAGCUCCGUUCUCCGGGGCACACUGGCCCACUCUCCAGAGGCAACUCUCUUCUACCCUGUUAGCUCCCCGUUCUUGAACUGGGUCCACUUUUCUAAAUAAUAUGCAUAUGCUGCUAUCGUUCAUCGAUUUUAGAUGUGGAAGUGGAUGAGGAUUUUAGCUCUCCUUCCUUUUACCGCAUCCUGAAAUACAUUUCUACCAAAAUUUUAUAACAACUCACAUUCUGU